rnacentral:rRNA from 1 species
CUGACUGCUAUCGGAUUGAUACUAAGCCAUGCGAGUCAUUGUAGCAAUACAAGGCAGACGGCUCAGUAACGCGUAGUCAACCUAACCUAUGGACGGGAAUAACCUCGGGAAACUGAGAAUAAUGCCCGAUAGAACACUAUACCUGGAAUGGUUUGUGUUCCAAAUGAUUUAUCGCCGUAGGAUGGGACUGCGGCCUAUCAGUUUGUUGGUGAGGUAAUGGCCCACCAAGACUAUUACAGGUACGGGCUCUGAGAGGAGUAGCCCGGAGAUGGGUACUGAGACACGGACCCAGGCCCUAUGGGGCGCAGCAGGCGAGAAAACUUUGCAAUGUGCGAAAGCACGACAAGGUUAAUCCGAGUGAUUUGUGCUAAACGAAUCUUUUGUUAGUCCUAGAACCACUAACGAAUAAGGGGUGGGCAAGUUUUGGUGUCAGCCGCCGCGGUAAAACCAGCACCUCAAGUGGUCAGGAUGAUUAUUGGGCCUAAAGCAUCCGUAGCCGGCUCUGUAAGUUUUCGGUUAAAUCUGUACGCUUAACGUACAGGCUGCCGGGAAUACUGCAGAGCUAGGGAGUGGGAGAGGUAGACGGUACUCGGUAGGAAGGGGUAAAAUCCUUUGAUCUAUUGAUGACCACCUGUGGCGAAGGCGGUCUACCAGAACACGUCCGACGGUGAGGGAUGAAAGCUGGGGGAGCAAACCGGAUUAGAUACCCGGGUAGUCCCAGCUGUAAACUAUGCAAACUCAGUGAUGCAUUGACUUGUGGUCAAUGCAGUGCUGCAGGGAAGCCGUUAAGUUUGCCGCCUGGGAAGUACGUACGCAAGUAUGAAACUUAAAGGAAUUGGCGGGGGAGCACCACAAGGGGUGAAGCCUGCGGUUCAAUUGGAGUCAACGCCGGG